rnacentral:rRNA from 1 species
AUUGAACGCUGGCGGCAGGCCUAACACAUGCAAGUCGAGCGAGCGGCGGACGGGUGAGUAAUGUAUGGGGACUGCCCGAUAGAGGGGGAUAACUACUGGAAACGGUGGCUAAUACCGCAUACUAUCGGAUAACCCAUAUUGGAUUAGCUAGUAGGUGGGGUAAAGGCUCACCUAGGCGACGAUCUCUAGCUGGUCUGAGAGGAUGAUUAGCCCAAGUGGGAAGGAGACACGGGCCAAACUUCUACGUAGGGAGCAGUGGGGAAAAGUGCACAAUGGGGGCAAGCCUGAUGCAGCCAUGCCGCGUGUAUGAAGAAGGCCUUAGGGUUGUAAAGUACUUUCAGCGGGGAGGCGUUACCCGCAGAAGAAGCACCGGCUAACUCCGUGCCAGCAGCCGCGGUAAUAC